UUGGAUAUGAUACCACGGCAUGAUAAGCCGGAAAAAGCUGAGAUAUAUCUUUCAUCGGAGAUAUCUCAUAUUUAUCUUAAUCUACUGCCUACUGCCAUCGUCAAAGUUUUAUUUAUAAGCAGAUUAAUACUAAUAUGAUCAUUUGCACAUGACACCCUCCCCAUCAACAGUUGUUUUUUGUUGUUGUUGCAAACCACAUGAAGAUUAAAGGGAAUAACAUGAAGCCAAUUUCAAUACCCUUUUGAUUUGCCUUAUCAUCGAGCUUCAUCACCAAAAAAAAAAAAAAACUGAUGACUUGAGAGUACAAUAUUGCAGCUAUGGUGAGCCAAAGCAACUAGUAAUGAAAUGAUGAUGAACGAACAGCUUACAUGAUUCAUUCCUCUUGUAUCCUAUAGUCUAUAUAAAA